UACGGGGGGGGCAAGCGUUGUUCGGAAUUACUGGGCGUAAAGGGCUCGUAGGCGGCCAACUAAGUCAUACGUGAAAUCCCUCAGCUUAACUGGGGAACUGCGUGUGAUACUGGAUGGCUUGGAUUUGGGAGAGGGAUGCGGAAUUCCAGGUGCAGCGGUGAAAUGCGUAGAUAUCUGGAGGAACACCGGUGGCGAAGGCGGCAUCCUGGACCAAUAUUGACGCUGAGGAGCGAAAGCCUGGGGAGCAAACGGG
rnacentral:rRNA from 1 species